rnacentral:rRNA from 1 species
AAUUUGACGGUAUUAACUUUUACAAAGGAAUUUGUUUCUUAAUCGAAAAUACACGACAAACCUUACUUAAUUUUUAUUUGUAUACCACCGUAUAAGAAAUUAUUUAAAAUAAAUUUCGAAAAAAAAAAUUCCUAUUACAUCAGGUCAAGGUGCAAUAUAAUUAAGAUGAAAUGAAUUACAUUAAAUUAUUUUAUAUAUAUAUAUAAAAAAUGAAAACCUUUUUUAAAAAUAGAAUUUGUUAGUAAAAUUAUAUCAUAAUGAUAAAUUGAAAAUUACUAUUAAUAUGUACAUAUCGCCCG